GAGCCUGUCAUUAAUUCGCCUCGCGAGCCGAGCGUCAUCUUAGCUCUUUGACGUCGAGCUCCAUUGGCCAGCUGUUGCUGAUGGCGUCAUCGCGCAGACAGCUGAUCGGAGUUAGAAGCCGGUUUGCGGGGAGUUGGAUUAUAGACGCCAGGAAGACGGUAACCCUUUUUGGGAACCCAAGAAAUUAUGAAAAAGUAGUGCUGGAGCGGACAGUUUAAACAACUUUCCAAUAUCUGUGCCCAGAACAUGCAGUCUCCAGUGGAAGAAGCAUCUGUGCCCAUGUCUGGCUGACUAUCAGCAGUUCUUCACUGGCAAGCUUUAUGUUCCUGUUUAGCAGCUAAAGCUGCCAGCUGAAGAACUGUUGGGGCCAGCUCCUGCCCUGCACCUAGAGGAGCAAGAAGAGCGGGACUUAGUUGAAAAACAGAGGAUGACACUUGAACACACAUGGAAACAUGCAGUGCUGCUGGAUAUUUUUUUUUUUUCCUUUCCUAAAGCUGACACAUUAGACUCCCAAUGACAGUGUUACAUCUGAAGUUCAACGAAGGCCAUAGAAGCCAGUUGAGGAUCACAGAAUGGUGGGCAUUUAAGAUUGUAUAUUGCAUAUACAUAAUGGUUAACAUCCUGCUGUGCAAGUCAUUGACUGUCUAUCCUUCAAAUUUUUCUAGGAACUGUCCACUCAUUCCUGUAGUGCUGUCCUAUUUUGGAUUUUAUUUUUAGUUUCAUUCUGAUACUUUGCUUUCUGCUGCCAUGCACUCUACCACUGGAAAAGAGAACAAGAGAAAUGGAAGGGAAUAAACUAAAUUUAUUCACUGUCCUGAACUAAUAGACAAUGAUUUGAGAAUAGGGUUAUGGUCAGCAUGAACUGCCAAUGAUCACAUUGGGGUGUGUACUUGUUUUCUUCCCCAAAUAUAAUGCUUUAAGGAA